rnacentral:lncRNA from 1 species
CGCACUGAGAAGUCUCCUGCCACGUCCGACUGCAGGAGUGGGAGGAGGAGCUGGAGGUGGGGGCUCUCAGACACUCAUUCAAAAUCCCGCCCUCCCCACAGAACGCAACCUCAUUAAGACGGCCUGCUGGAGAGAGGAUUAGGCAUCACGGUGAGUCCUCAUCAUGUGGUUGUUAUUAUCAGUAGUUUCCAUCAUCAUUCAGAACUCAUAAUUCAAAACUGGUGCCCUCUUGCCAGCCGCGGCUGCCCUUGGAUCAGCUGAUCAGAGCCAGGCUCCCCCACACCUACAUUCCCGCUUUGAACCCAUAAGCAUGUGGAAGCCUCAAGCACGCAGGCCUCCAGACCUGCCUAAAAGAGAAAGGGAGUGGCCCACUCCCCCAAACCAAAGGGAGUGACAGUGGCCAGGGGGAGGGGCAGCUGGUGGUCAGGGAAGGCCUCAUGAGGGAGGCAGCACCAGGCCCUUGAAUAGGGGAGGGGCAGAGAGGACAAACAGAGCUUCUCUCCUCCUAAAGCACCUGUCUCUACUCUCCUUCCUCGCACCCCUAAUAGCCUAGAAGUUUCCCUGUAUCCCCAGCAAAAAGCGUUUUCUGGGGAAUUCUAGGGAUCAAAGUGGUCUUCACUGCCUCAGUGAACCUGGUAGUGAGGACAAUAACUCCUGCCUGGUUCCCCUUCACACCUGCAGCUGCUACCGGGGUGACCUCCAGGGUCCUCACUGCCGCUCCCUCCCGCCUCAACCCGGAGAGGAAAGUCACUCCUUGGAAUCAUCUCCUGCAGUGACCCUAGGCAUGGGGGAGCACCCCAGGAAGGCCUUAGAUACUUUACAGUGUCCCCCUACAGGGGAGGCUCAGCUCAGGCUGCUGCCCUCACAGACAAGGACGCCACUGCAGGGGCAGCUACGACAGUGCCGGGUGCCUGGGGAGUGUUUGACAGAUUCAGGUUGAAGAAACAAAGGCAGGAAAAGGCAAGGAAGGGAAUGAGGGGACCGAGGAAGGUCGGAAUCAGGACUCCUGGACCCACUGCCGCCUGCCCUACCAUCCAUCACCCCAUCGUCCAUCCCCCAGGUUCCAACAUGGUCCAGUGGGGUCCCAGACACAUUCGGGGGGUGGACGGCGUUUCAGGCCAGGAGGAGGCCUUUUCCCAGGCCCUGUGGCCCUCCCCACUGGCGGGAAGCGAUCUUUCCAGGUGA